AGGACGGCCACGUGACUGUAACGAUAUUCCAGAUUGGUGUCCAAAUGGCGUUUAUAAAGUUUAUCCUAGACAUACAACUGGAUUUGAAGUGUACUGCGAAAUGGCAAUAGAUGGAGGACACUGGACUGUAAGCUUUUGGUUAUCAUGAUGGUAGACUGAGUUGCUAUUCGAACAAUUGAAUAAAGGUGGCAUCAAAUUAAGUCACGUCUAAAUGUAUUUUAUUUCAAUUUUUACCUAUUUUCUUUCUUUUUCAUAUUUGAUUCUUUUCUGAUGAAGAUAUAUUCAUUUAAGACCAAACGACAUAAAACAAAUGUAAAAACAUUAACUUAAAUGUUCAUAUACAAAACAGUUUACGAGUCAUGUCAAUUAUUUGCUCUUCGAGGAUGUUUCGUACUGUUUUGUUUUGUGUUAGUUUUGUUUUGAAACAAGUAAAAGGGAAAAAAUUAUCUGAUAAAAAGUAACAGCAUUAAAUAAAAACAAAAUAUGGCAAACAGUAAAUUACGAUAACCAACGGGUAACAGUGUUAUGAGUUAACGUUGGUACAGGCAUCAAUAAAUGUAUCAAAAGAAAAAAAAUAAAGAAAAAUACUCCACAAUAAUUUCAGGUUUUCCAAAGACGAGAAAACGGAUAUGUUGAUUUCCUCCGUGGAUGGAAUGACUACAAAUAUGGUUUCGGAUACCUCAAGCAUGAAUUCUGGCUUGG
rnacentral:lncRNA from 1 species